UAUGGUCAACGUGAGUGUUAGAUAAUUACAAAUUCCUUGAUCUUAAAAUGUCAAGAAAUCGAAGUUUUCCAAGAAAAUAUCUAAUAGUAAUACGUAAUUUGAAUAACAAUAAUAUCAUAAUUCCGCGAGUUAAGGAAAACAAACGACCACAUACUCAGCAUUAAUCAAUUGAUUCUGUACGAAUGUAAAUUAUUUAAAGUUCGGGACUUGGUCUUGCAACGAAAAAAAAACUAUUUAAGACACAAACAAAAAAUGACAAAAAUUAUUUUAUUAUUGUUAUCAAUUUUAUCAUUUGUCGUUGUCUAUAGCGAUGCAUUUGGAUGUCCUGGAAAAUGGUGUCAUCCCCAGCAAGGGUAUCAUUGUUGUAAGGAAUAUGAGUGCACUUGGUACUUUUGGCAAGGUACUUGCAAACAUUUUUCGGAGUUUGGACUGCCGCCAAUAGGAAAAUAAAAUAUAAAAAAAUAUUGAAGCCUCAUAUUUAUGGACCAUAGCAUUCAAAUGAAUGAGUCAAUAAAUAAAUUUAAUGAUAAUUAUCGAA